rnacentral:rRNA from 1 species
UACGUAGGGGGCAAGCGUUGUCCGGAUUUAUUGGGCGUAAAGAGCGUGUAGGCGGCUAGGUAGGUCCGUUGUGAAAACUCGAGGCUCAACCUCGAGACGUCGAUGGAAACCAUCUAGCUAGAGUCUGGAAGAGGAGAGUGGAAUUCCUGGUGUAGCGGUGAAAUGCGCAGAUAUCAGGAAGAACACCCGUGGCGAAGGCGGCUCUCUGGUACGUGACUGACGCUGAGACGCGAAAGCGUGGGGAGCAAACAGG